UUUAAGCAAUAGUUAGUUAACAGAAUAUUAAAGUUAUAAGAAGAGAACUUAGGUUUUCCCCGUGAGAAAAUCUUCUCCUCUCCUCCUCUCGCGACGGCGUUUUUCUCUCGCGGCGGAAACGAAGAAACAGGCGGUAGGGCUCGAUCUCCGGUGCCGGCGAAGGGUUUUUCCGGCCGGUCUCCACCCGUGCAUGACCACCUCGACGAGGGGAGCUCGGAAACACCAAGAAGCCGCUGAGAUCUUCACCGUCUCCGAACCCUAGAACCCCUUUUCCUCGGUUUGAAUCCCAGAACACGCGAUAAAGGAAGAGCUAAAAUAUAAGGAAGAAGGCGACAAGGAGAUGCUGUGAC